rnacentral:rRNA from 1 species
ACGUGGUGCAGCAGGCGCGAAAACUUCGCACUGCGCGAAAGCGCGACGAGGGAAUCCCAAGUGUAUGCACGUAAGUGUAUACUGUUUCUCUGUCUAAAAAGCAGAGAGAGUAAGAGCUGGGUAAGACUGGUGCCAGCCGCCGCGGUAAUACCUGCAGCUCGAGUGGUGAUCGUUAUUAUUGGGCCUAGAACGUCCGUAGCCGGUCUUAUAAAUGCCUGGGUAAAUCGUAUGGCUUAACCAUACGAAUUCCGGGUAGACUGUUUGACUUGAGACCGGGAGAAGCUAGAGGUACUCCUGGGGUAGAGGUGAAAUUCUGUAAUCCUAGGGGGACCACCAGUGGCGAAGGCGUCUAGCUAGAACGGGUCUGACGGUGAGGGACGAAGCCCUGGGGCGCAAACGGGAUUAGAUACCCCGGUAGUCCAGGGUGUAAACGCUGCUUGCUUGAUGUUGGUUGAGCUCCGAGCCCAAUCAGUGUCGGAGAGAAGUUGUUAAGCAAGCUGCCUGGGAAGUACGGCCGCAAGACUGAAACUUAAAGGAAUUGGCGGGGGAGCAC